AAAAAACAAAAAAAAAAAAACAGAUGGACAUUGGUUUGAUAUCAAUUCUCUUAUAUAUGACCACUUGAAUCAAUGUCUAUUAUUAGUUUCUUUUAGUAAAGUGCAGAACACAAGGAAUGAUGCAUCAAAUGGUUUGGUAUGUUGUCCUGAACAUUAUUAUGAUCAUCAUGUCCUCUUUUCUCUUGCCUGUUGGUGCCAGUGAAGAGAGUAUUAGAGCAGGAGAAUCUAUCAACAAUAACGAAACCUUAACUUCAGCUGGAGGAAAUUUCGCAUUAGGCUUCUUUAGUCCAGGCAAUUCUAUGAACAGAUACAUUGGCAUAUGGUACAACACAAUCUCCAAACAAACAGUCAUAUGGGUUGCUAACAGAGAAAACCCGCUUGCUAAAAAUUCUCAUGGAUUUUUGCUUGGUGAUGAUGGCAAUAUUGUGCUUUUACAUGGAGAAAAAAAAGUUAUUUGGUUUGGUCAUCAAAUGCAACAAUUGCGAAAUUGGCCAUGAACUCCACAGUUGCAGUGCUGUUAGAUACUGGAAAUCUUGUUCUCAGACAUGGUGAGACGGGCACUGUAUUAUGGCACAGUUUUGAUUAUCCAACUGAUACGCUUAUUCCUGGCAUGAAACUUAACUGGCCAGCAAAGCCUUCUGUAUUCGUUGCCAACAAUGCAAAUCCUCAACCAGGAAUGUUCUCCGGAGGUAUAGAUCCUGAAGGGUGUCCACAGAUUUUCAUUUGGAAGCAAUAUCGUCCCUUUUGGAAAAGUACUGUAUACGACUAUAGUUUGGUUUAUAUAGAUCACAUACAUCAAGGGUUUGCCUCGUUUUUAACUUUCAUCAAAGAAAGUGAUGAAAUUUAUCUCACUUGCUGUGUACCAGAAAACUUACUUAAAGUAAGAGUCACUUUAACUCCUACUGGGCAAGCUCAGCUGCUGUUUUGGGCACAAAGUAGCAAUUCAUGGGUAGUUGUAUGGCAGGCCCCAGUAGUUGAAUGUGAUUUUUAUGGGUAUUGUGGUCCAUUUAGUAGCUGUGAGCAAAAUGGAUCACAUCCAUUUUGCAGUUGUUUGGAGGGUUUUGAGCCCAGAGAUCAGAAAGAAUGGAAUCUUGGAAAUUGGACAGGAGGCUGUGCCAGGAAGAUGGAAUUGACAUGUGAUAAGGGAGAUUGGUUUUUUAAGUUUGAAAGAACUAGAUUGCCUGAUUAUUCAGUGUCUCUGGGAAAUGUCGUGACAACUGCUCUUGCACAGCUUAUGCUUAUGCUAAUCUAACUAUAGAAACUACUGUGCACUGUAUGAAUUGGUUUGGGGCUUUGGUGGAUCUAAAUCAUAAUGCCUUCAUUGGUAAAGAUCUUUAUGAUCGCCUUCAUAGCUCUGACCAAGUUAGCAAUGCUAAGACUGGCAACUUGACCCCUAAAAGAAGAAUUUUGAUUGCAAUUGCAGCAGCUGCUAUCUCUACAGGAUUUCUAUUUAUUAGUAUCAUCGGCUAUGUCUUAACAGGUUGAGAAAUCCGGGUACAAUCUCUCCCUCUCCCUCUUGAGUGUUGUACAUGUUUAAUCCUACACACUUGGAAACACAAAUAGAAGUUACCACUACACUUCUAGUUUCCUAUGCAUGAUUUUGUCCACUGAUUACUCCAAAUACAGAGAGAAUAGAACCAAGUGUGAAAAAACUUGACACAAACUCUAGUGCAUCUGUUGUUGGGCCAAAUGAUGGAGAAUUGUUAUCAUUCAGUUUACAAAGUAUAUUAGCUGCCACAGACAUCUUUUCUGAAGCAAAAAAACUAGGAGAGGGUCGGUUUGGACCUGUUUAUAAGGGGAAUUUUCCUGAACUACAAUUAGCAGCUAUAAAAAGACUCUCAAAAAAAUCAUUGCAAGGCAUGGAAGAGUUCAUGAAUGAGCUGAAACUUACUGCCAAACUCCAACAUAAAAAUCUUGUCAGACUAUUGGGUUGUUGUAUGCCUUAAGCAGAAUGAGCUGAAACUUCCUAUUUUAUCCUUCUAAGCAAGACAAUUUGGAUUGGAGUAAUUGCUUCCAGAUCAUAGAAGGGAUUGAUCAGGGUCUUAUUUGCCUUCAUAAGUAUUCUAGACUGAAUGUCAUUCACAGGGAUUCAAAAGCAAGCAAUAUUCUGUUGGAUGAAGCUUUGAAUCCCAAAAUUUUGGACUUUGGAACCGCAAGGAGUUCCAGAAUAUAAAUCAAACUGAUGCAAAUACUAGGCGGGUGGUGGGCACAUAGUAAGUAUAGCAGAUAUUUCCAUUCAUCUGAACUUUAAAUAAGAUAAGUUUAUUUUAUACUACUGCUGAAAAUAAAAUGCUGCCGCUGCUACGGUCAGUAUGGUUGUUAACAUUGUCAUUGGUGAUGCAACGGUUACAUGUCACCAGAAUAUGCGUUGUCUGGGCAAUUUUCUGAGAAAUCAGAUGUAUUCAGUUUUGGAGUGUUAUUGUUAGAGAUUGUGAGUGGUGAGAGAAGCCCUAAUUCUCAUCAAACCUGAACAUUCUCUAACCCUUAUAGGAUGGGCAUGGAAAAAUUGGAAAGAAGGUAGCUGUUUGAAGUUAAUUGAUCCAUCAAUAAGGGAUAUAUGCAAUCUUCAGGAGGCAUUGAAAUGCAUUGCUGUAGGGCUAUUGUGUGUUCAAGAAUUUCGGGGUGAUUGAACAACAAUUUAUGCAGCAAUUCUCAUGUUGAGAAAGGAAAUUCCGUCAGUUCCAUCACCCAAAGCACCUGCCUUUUCUACUUAUACGAAUUCCAACACUGCCUACUGUUCUUCUCAAACAUCUAGUUGCUAUUUCAACAAUGAAGUGACAAUUACCAUGCUUGAGGCUCGAUAAGAAGCUCUCAAUUUUCAACUACACAGAAAGAUUUCCAUAAAGAUGAACUGCAUACAAAACUGAUGUCUCCGGUAGAGUAUGUUAUGGUUAGCAAGUGCACAAGAAGCAUACAUAUGAUGACAUUGUCACUUUCAUGUGUAGAAUUUAUACUAGUAAGAAUUUGUAGAAGUUCUUCUCAUUAAUGUAAUUAUCAAUAUUGCAUAAAUACUAUGCUAGUAUCAGAAUGAAGAACAAGUUAAUUUUUUCUUGCUUAUUGGACAAAGCUGAUAGUGAUCUUGGAGACAAUCAUAUACCUUUGGCUCAACAACUUAGAUUUGAUUAUACAACUAACAUCAUUAGUCUUGAUUUAAAGAUGAUUGAAAAACAUCAUUGAGUAAACCAUGAGAGGGUUAGAUCAAGUAGAAUUUAUCCAUUUCCUCACGCCUUUAUUUUCAGGGUAAUUUGCUUGAAAUUAAAGAAGCUAAGCCAUAAAAAGGCUAUCUAAAAAGGCAAUAUUACAAGAAUUAGAGUACAUGAAUGAGUUGAAACUUAUUGCCAAACUCCAAGACACAAAUUAAUCUUGUUAGGCUUUUUGGGAUAUUGACAUAUAUUGAUCUACUGAAUAGAUGCCUAUUCUGUACAUUUUAAAUAUGUCUUUCCUAACCUCUCUCACAUUUUUAGUUUAAAUUUUCUCCAAGACGCUGAAUAUUGGAAAAAUAUUGACAUCUCAAUUACACUCAUUGCAGCCCUAUACCAAUGUUGAUGUGGGACAAGCUCACUUUUUUCUCAAAGAUAAAUCUUGCUUUGAGGUGGCACUUGCAUUGUGCCUUUUUGCUCCGGGUUCUAACUUAUUGACUUUUGCAUUUUCCAUUAUAUAAAACUUAGUUGGAAAAGAAAUCUCAUCAGUGGCAUGCGUUUACCUCCUUCACUAAUUAUCUUUACUACUUUCUCAGUGCUAAUUCCUCCUUAUAGUUGCUGUCACUUUCACUAUGAAGCAUUAAU